GGCUCCAUAGUGUAGUGGUUAGCACAUCUGCUUUACACGCAGAAGGUCCUGGGUUCGCGCCUCAGGUGGAGCCA
rnacentral:tRNA from 1 species